AAGGAAGGAUAUAAUAAACUAAUUAAUACUUUUGUCAAAAGUGUUUGUUUAAUUACUCAUGCUGGUGAGCUGUAGAGACUUUUAUAUAUUUAUGUUGUGGCCUCAUCUUUCUGAGAGAAACCUGCAACUUCACCCUCUCAAGAAUCAAGAAAACAGAGCAAUGGAGAGAAGGGAAGAUCUUGAGACCAUUUUAGCCUACUUGCCGCUAGUGAUUCAGGAUUCUUCACUGUCUUGGCCGUCAUCGCACUUGGUGGAGGUUUAGAAGGUUUGACCAAAGGACCGAGUCACAGCCGAGUUGACUCGGGACAAACUCUGUCUGAUACCAUCUCUGACAUGAGACAAUCUCUCUCUUUGACUUCUCAUCUUUCUUAUUCAGCACUUCAAGGCUACGCUCUCUUCUUCGACGAGGUAAUAUAGUAGGAAAAAAAAAACUCAAAAGUCUUUCAUUAUUUUUUCAGAUUGAUUUGAGUGAAUAAUGUAUUGCUUUGGUGCAGAAAAUGUCAAAAGAAGAAUCAAGCAGAUGGUUCAACGAGGCUUUGCCUGCCAUGUCUUGUCUUCUUCUGAGAUUCCCAUCUCUCUUGGAACUACACUAUCUAAAUUCAGAGAAUAUCAUCAAUGGAGUUGAAACCGGUCUUUGUGUCUUAGGCUCCAACAAAGCAGGCAUUGUGUUCCACAGCCAGGUAUAUAUAUGUUCUUUAAGCAAAGUCUCAUUACAGCUAGAGAUAUUCAAAUGUGUCUUUUGUUUUGGCUUAUGACAGGAACUUAUAGGAGCCUUGCUUUCUUGUUCUUUCUUCUGUUUGUUUCCUGUCGAUGAUAGAAGCUCGAAUAGUCUUCCAAACAUCAAUUUCGACAAACUAUUCGGGUAAGUAGAUUUUAUUUUAUAUAAUAAGGAAUUUGCAUUGAAUAACACAUUUGAUUGGAAAAUACAACUAUAUUUAAAAAACAAAAAAACAGAAAUAUAGAAAAUAGUUAUAAUUCUCAGACUACAAACUUCAUACCUAUUAUUUCAGAAGCCUAAUCAGCACGGGACGAAACGAGCACCAAGAGAACAAGAUUAGGUGCAUAGCUCAUUACUUCCAGAGGAUAUCUUCAUGCAUCCCUCCUGGAUUCGUCUCAUUCGAACGGAAGAUACUCUCUUUAGAACAAGAUCAUUCUGGCCUUGAAGCCUUUCCUGAUGAAGGCUUCUGGAGUACAUCUACUGUCAAUCUCUGCCCUGUUGAGGUUACUUAAUUAAGUAGAUGUAUGCUUGAUUCUAUUGUCUAUAUAAAGAGUUUUGUAUCCAAGUAUCAGUUUUUCAAAUGGUGUAUAGGUUCACACUUGUGGUUUGAUAGAGGAUCAAAGCGUUGAAGCUCUUGAAGUUGACUUCGCCAACAAGUAUUUAGGAGGCGGCGCUCUUCGCAAGGGAUGUGUCCAGGUCUAUAAUAAACUAUAGCUUUGAAUACGCUUCUGGUCUUUUGAAGUUUUUAUUCGAAUCUUGACUUUGUUUUCAAACACAGGAAGAGAUUCGGUUCAUGAUAAAUCCAGAAUUGAUCGCUGGUAUGCUCUUCUUACCAGCCAUGGAAGUCUCUGAAGCAAUUGAAGUUGUUGGUGCCGAAAGAUUCUCUCACUACACAGGGUGACACACUUUUCCAAAAAUACUUUUAGUGAUUUAUAAAAUGUUUUUUUUUUUAAUUAUGAAAGAAAAUGGUUUAUUCUCCAUUCUGCAGAUAUUCAUCUUCCUUUAGGUUCUCUGGUGAUUACGUAGACACAAAGGAAAGAGAUGUUUUCGGGAGGCGAAAAACAAGAAUCGUCGCCAUAGAUGCUCUGCGUCAUCCAGGAAUCUCCCAGUACAAACCUGAAUGCCUCCUCCGGUGAAAACUGAAUAAAAUCUUGAUAUAGUUUAACUAGUCUUCUUUAUAUCAAACUGUUUCUGAACAUUCUUUUUUUUAUCUCCAGGGAGGCUAAUAAGGCUCUAUGUGGUUUCCUCCAUGUAUGCAAGAAGCAUUGCAUAGAUCAUGAAGGUGGUGUUGGUGUUGCUACAGGGAAUUGGGGAUGUGGUGCUUACGGUGGAGAUGCUGAGGUCAAAUCUCUCCUUCAGUGGAUUGCUGUUUCUCAGGUUAAACCUUAACCAAAGUGUGUAAUUUUUAGUCAGUGGCUGUUUCUUUGUCUCACAAACAUUGCAUUGUUCUCAGGCAAGAAGGCCUUUCAUGUCUUAUUACACUUUUGGAUUUGAAGCACUUCAUAACCUAAAUCAGGUAACGGAAUUGGUUAUAUCUAAAGGAUUGAGGGUGGGAGAUGUAUGGAAGAAGCUGGUCGAGUAUUCGAACCAGAGAUUAAGAAGCAGCAAGAAAAGAAGAGAGCCUAAAGUUGGUUUGUUUGAUUGGCUUAUUUCUAGCAAUGCUGCUUAAUAGCAUUGGCCUCCCAACUUUUUUCUAAGCAACAAAAGAUAAAUUUGGUUUUUAGCAGUGUGUACCAUUUGUAUUUUCGAGUGACGUCUUUAUGAAAAUAAAUUGAAGUGAGAAGUAAUUAAAACUUGCAUCCCAUCCCACGGUAAUGAAACAAGAGGCCACAAUUAACAGAGACUGAUUACACAGCAUAGAGCUGCUUUGGCCGUCGUUGUGAGAAUGUCUAGUUUCAACAAGAGCUGGAGCCGAAUCCCAAGUUUAUGCCAGAGAAGAAGAGAGGAUGCUACUACCCUUAGUGGGUUUUAAUACAAUUAGGCCGACUCCUCUAAAGAAAAAGGAAAAGUUAUUUUCCACUGUUUUGAAAACUGGACUGAACCGGCUGAUCGGACCUUGACUUAUCCAUCUAUCUGCUCCUAUGAUGCUUCUCCUUCCGCUGGAUGAGUGAGCAAACUCUGACGUUGAGCGGAUGGGGGCUUCAUGGCAUUCGAACUAGUUACAGAUUGUACUAAAAAGCGGAUUUGAGUUAAACCGACAAAUUUGGUUAAAAACGGGUGAAACUCGUUAAAACCGGUGAUUCUAUUCGAUAAUAAAACUCGAUUUUUUCAAAUUCACGAAGAAAAAUAUAAAAAUGCAAAUUUAAAAAAGAAUUUGUUAAAAAUUCAUACUAUUUUUUAAAUAUCUAUUGAAAUAAAUCAUUUUUUAUAUUAUUUUAGAUUAUAACAAUGGUAUAAAAAUAAUUUUAUAGUUAUACAUAUAUAUAUAUAGUUACUUAAUCAAAAUUAAGUAAAAUUUAAAAUCUAAUUGGACCGGUUCGACAAUUGAUCCAUUUAGUCUAGAUAGUGAAUGUCUCCUCCGGUUUUCGAAACAUUGUUACUUUCGUAAUUUAAACAAAAAAUAUUUGUGUGUGAUGAUGUGUCAUAUUCUUAUUUGACACGAUUAUUGUUGUACGACUCUGUGAUCCUAUCUUAAUCAAACAAAAACUGGUUUGGCCAAGGUUUCAAUUGAAGCUUCACAAUUCCAGGUAUUGCUGAUCUUAUUCAAAUCCAUUUCGAUUCCUCUGGUGGCGAGCCGGUUUCUGGUUAUUUUGGUGUUUGAAUUUUCAAUUUUGUUUUCAGAGAAAAUGAUUAUCCCAUACUCGACACAACUCACUUGCGCUCUUAAAGAGAAUGGAAGAACUAGACAAGUAAGUGUGCUAAUCACCAUUCAUACAUACAAAUUUGGUUUGCUGUGUGUUUUGGUUGAUGCUGUGGUUGAGACUGAUUUGGUUUCUUCUCUGCAAGUGUCUUUGUUCCCAGAGAUCAUCUUCACUAAAGCCGGAAACACAUUAUACCGUGAGAAAGGUAAUGCCUCCAAACCCCCUAACCGUUCAAAACCGGAAUCUCUAUUAGCUUCUUGUUGUACUUAGAACAUAUUUUGCAGGCAUUAAGACAGCAGAUGAGCUCUCAAAGAUCAUGGCUUUCUUGUUUUAAUGAUGUAGCCAAUUCCCAAGAACAGAUUCCUUCACUCCUGUAAGUGUCGAUUAAUCAUAUGCCUUGGUGAUUGUGUGAAAAGUAGUUUAUUUGCUAAGUCUUAAGAGAAUGUAUGAAUUGAUGAAGAAGUUAUCAGUCUUUUGAAUUUAAAAUAUGUUUUUUUUUUUAAAUUUCUUUCUUUCUCAGGUUGCUAUUUAUAGUAUGGAGACUCAAAAGCAGAGACUUCGCGUUAUCUACCAUCUCUCUCUCGUGACGUGCUCUCUUCUCCACUUCUCUCUCUCAAUCUCCCGUUCUCAUCUCCUCUUCAUGGUUGCAUUCAUUCCGGUUUCCCAAAUUUCCUUCAUUUGGCGAGAGUUCCUUUGAUCUUCUUCUUCCAUGGAUUCGGUUAUCAUCGAACCAGACGAGCGUGAGGCCUUGUCAUCGCUUGUCCCCUCUCAUCCACCCCCGCGUAAGACACAUUCCUACGUCGAGCAAUACGAGCAGAAGGCUGCACCGUUUUGUCAUGUACAAACGACACGCAAACUGAUAUCAUGUGUGUCGUUUCAAUAAAACCAAAACGGCAGAAAGUGUACCUUUCAUAUAUAUAUUUACAGUCGGAUGGGUUAAUUAAUCAUACGAUUGAAGAAGCAAGUGUCCUCCCUCGAGCCAUGAAUUUAAGGCGGCACAAGGUCUCAGAGGAUGCUCAAACCAGACGCAGCUCACUACUUACUUCUGACGAAGGGAAGGAAAACCAGAGAGGUUGUGUCGUGAUAUGUAACCCUAGCACGAGACAAUCCUUCACUAAGGAAGAGAACUGGGUUGAGAAGCUUUGUAGGGUAUGAUCCUGUUGAGAAACAACACAAAGUGUUGGCAGUGACCUAGCAAGAUUAUUUAGGUGAGGAGCAUCAGAUUCUCACAUUAAGAGGAAACGGGAAUUGAAUGCAUCAAUGGUAUUUUGUAUUACAUUGCUAGGGUUUCCAAUCUUGUUGAUAUGCUAGUUUGCUUUGAUGUCAGAUCUGAAAAGUACAACUUUGCUACCCUCAUGGAACGUGGAAUGUAUGAUGCAACUCUGAUAAAAUUGCAAGGUAAAUUGGCUUCAGUAAGGUCGUCUGCGACCAUUUUUCUUAGUGGGACAAGUACAAGUUUAGAGAUGUGUAUUCUAGAAGACCCUGAAAAACAUGAAUGGUCCAAACGUAUUUUCAAUUUACCUCCUAUGUGCAAGGAGGCAGCUGCAGGGGAGUACUUAGACUUUGUUGGAGUAACUGCUACAGAUGAAUUUGUUAUUUCACCGCUCUUUCCAUCCGACCCUUUCUAUGUCUACUUCUACAGUUUCGUCAAGGAUGCUAUAACAAGAGUUGAAAUCCAAGGAAUGGGAGCGUUUGAUCAUGCUUUUAGAAUUCACAUAUUUCUGAACCAUGUCGAGGACGUGAAGCUUAUGGAACUGUUUUAGGACUUUGUAGUGGAUGCUGGCUCUUAAGUUCUUGUCUUGUAUAUCAUGUGGUCUUAGUUCUAGAGCCUUUAUCUUUCCACUGCUUUUGUGUUUUUGUUAUAAGGUUUUCAGUUAUCGUAAGUGAAUAUUCUCAGUUGUCUACCAUGGUUUUUCAUCUUUUCUAAUGGUACCAUCUACCUCUUGUUUCAGUGGUUCAUGCACUAUGUAGCAAUGAUUGGUAUUAUGUUUUUGAAAUUCUUCUCUACCUCUUACCCUAAUUACACUUUCUGAUUAUAUCUACAAAUUGUUUAACUUUUGAUACUGGACUCAUGUAUGUGCACUGGCAAAAAAAAAAAAAAAGUAUGUACACUGGCACAUCGUAAUUGGAAUCUAUCUGUCUUGUUGUCCUUUGUUAAUCUGAUCUUGUGGUUUACAUGUAUGAAAGUGGGGUUGGCUGUAUAGCUUGCUAUGAAAAUUGUGUUGUUACUAUACUGAAGGAGGCUUGAUGAUGUCUUGUAUUCAUUUUCCGAGUCUCAAGACCUCGACUGUCUCUCACUAGGAAGCUGUGGAUUGCCCUAGUUACGCAAUUCCUGUAUAUUUAUCGAAGUUCCAAGUUAAAUUUCAUAAGGUUAUUUGCUGCUUUUGUGUUAGUCUAUAUUAUCAGGUAGGACAACAGAGUUGUGGACUUUUUCUGUCUGAUAAAAAGAAAAUAUGAUACAAAUGGAGGCUUUAACAGUAUCUCGAUCAAGAAUAGUAUUUAGAUGUUUUCCUUGGUCUUAAAGCUUGUCAAAUCAUAUUUAAGCAUUCGUUUCUGGUUGUGGAACUUAGAGAACCCAUCAGGCAUCCCAUUUCUUACUCUUUGACAUGAUUUAAGACUAUUCAAGUCAUUUGCUUGCAGCUGGUGGUUUAGGACAUUAGGUCAUGGUGUGGCUUAUGCUGUCUUCUUUUGUUUGAGCCUUCUUAACAACAUACUAUAUUAUUAGCUUUUUGACUUGUUGAUUGAGUCUCAAGUGGUUUGAUUUUUGUAGUAGACUAGUUAUACUUAUGCUGCACGAUCCACUCAUUCUCGAUGAUCAUUAAUUUCAAAGGGUACGCAAUAGGGAACAAAGUUGAUGGUUAACACAGGACAGGCUCUUGCCAUGUACAUUCUGAGUAUGCAGACAUCCCUCGGUAUCAGUGAUAUGUUAUGUUCUAUGGUUUCUCUUGCAUUUAAAUUUUUGUGAAUAAUCAAAACAAAAAUCUUCUAUGAUUUUUAAUUGGAAUGCCAGGCUUAUUAUUGCCAUUGACUAAUUCAUCAGGGUGCUGAAAUUUAUAUGAAUAUUUUUUUUCCACAUAUCUUGAUCCGCAAGGAAGGAUAUAAUAAACUAAUUAAUACUUUUGUCAAAAGUGUUUGUUUAAUUACUCAUGCUGGUGAGCUGUAGAGACUUUUAUAUAUUUAUGUUGUGGCCUCAUCUUUCUGAGAGAAACCUGCAACUUCACCCUCUCAAGAAUCAAGAAAACAGAGCAAUGGAGAGAAGGGAAGAUCUUGAGACCAUUUUAGCCUACUUGCCGCUAGUGAUUCAGGAUUCUUCACUGUCUUGGCCGUCAUCGC
rnacentral:lncRNA from 1 species